CUAGAGUCAUCAGCUUAUGAGCCAUCCGCAGACCCUUCGACUUCUUCACAGCCCACCUCAGGUCAUGUUAGUUCUUCAUCAACCUCGACUAGGCGUGGUAGAGGAUGUGCCAAGGGCAUUAAAGAGUGGGGUACUGGUAAAAAGCUAGACAUACAAUUUGAUGAAAAUUACUAUCCAAUAGGGGAUAACGUGG